UGGGACGUGGUGUACGGCGCACCGCUGCAUUCAAUCAUGUAAGAUAUGCAGAAUGUUGAAGAGCAGAAAGCCGGGGUUCGACUCCCCGCGUCCCAC